GAGAUCAUGACCUGAGCCGAAGCCGGACGCUCAACCGACUGAGCCCCCCAGGCGCCCCUGACACUGUUUUUAAAGUGACCCUAAUGUUCUCUUUCACACAAAAGAAGCUGGUAAGCUUCAUGCCCUGGAAGGCGGGAAAUCGCAGAGCUGUAGGUGUGACAGCCUCUUCCCAGCGCUCCGGGCUCCGGCGCCUCCGCUCACCCCUGCCCGUGCUCUCAGCUCCCUGAAGAUCUGUGUGUGUCCCCUGUAGUGCAGACCAGAGCCUGGCGAGGAGGGGGACGCGCCAACUUGUGCAAGGCCCGCCUUACACCCAUGGCUUUGUCCCUCAGGCCUUGCAGUGUCCGUUGUCCUUUGUUGACUUUCACUCACACUUUCCAGAUCCUGUGACGUCAACAGGGCGGUUCUUGGCACUUUUCCUGGAAGGCUGGCAUCGCCCAGCACCCCCACACCUUGUCAUAAAGCACUGUUGAGGUGUUGGCGGGGUGUUCUGCAGUUUCCCUUUGAUCGUGACUGAGAAGUAGACCGUGAUCCUGACCUUUCCGAACAAAGAUGGGUUAAGACCUAGUUCACUGGGAAGUACCAUGUAGAGUAUCCUUUUGAAACAAUUCUGGGUUCAAGUGAUUUGAGAAGAAAAUCCUACCAAGGGAUGUAGACGGAAAGCACUUUACUGGAAGAAAGAAAGUCGUUCGUGCUGCACUGGGGCACCUGUGGGUGUUGGACAGAACGCUCGGAACAGUGUCUGACAAGGUGCUUUAAACUGUGGACUCCUCUGGGGCAGAUGGAUUGAAGAGCCAAGAUCUAGGAAUUUACCGUACGUAGAUUUUGUUAGUUGUCAGAAGUGGACGGUCGUUGUAAGUUACCAGCGAGGAGGAGAUGCCUACCCAUCUGGGGCCAGUGCUCACGUCACAGUGUGAGGGUCAGCCUCGGGAUCUGGUGAGGUCUGGCUGAGGCCUAGUGAACAUCAGAUGCCGGGGCUUCACACACACAGACCUCGGGGCCCAGGAAACCGCAGCUGAACAAAACCCCCGAGCCCAGGUAAUUUGAGGCACGUCACGGGUCUCAGGGCUGCUUAAACGCCAUGGGUUCGGUUCUUUAAUAUUUGCAGAGCUGUAUCUCUGGGAUGAUGAAUGAGGCAAUGCUUUUAAGUCUCUAAUGACUGCGACCCAACCCUCCCUCUGUCGUAAACCUGCAGAUUGUUUUACAUCAAUAUGAGCAUCUUAUUCUUAAAGGACGUUGGAACUCUGGAAAUGGUUCAGGUGUGAAUGCUCUCCAUGGGUGCUCAGAUUACCGGCUCAUGACGUUCCUGUGUUAAGCUGUCCAUGAGCCAUGCUGUGGGUUCCCCUGUGACUUCAGCCAGGUGGCCCUGCUCUGCUCUUGGCCUUUAGGAAUGACUGCUGGGUGGAGAACGACGCUCUGGCAUCGGUCCCCUAAUGAUGUUGAUGGCUCCAUCUGAAAUAAUACUGCCUUCUAGAUCAGCUCCGUUGUCUUCCUGAGAGCCUAACGGCUGAGGUUUUGAGCCACACAGGAAGAAAACUGGAAGGGCUGGGCAGAAGGAACGCUGCUCCGGGACGAUUUUCGCCUACAGAUGCUCUUGCAUCCUUGCGUUAACAUAACCUUGGAAAACGGAUUGAUGUGGCUUUACAAAUUUGGAAGAUAUGUAUUCCUUAUUAUAUAACAGGAACAAAAUAAAAGUAUUUAUCACAAUGUA